GCUUCACUAAUUUUGCCUUUUUGUUGUUGGGGGUGACUUCUUCCCAGGGAUGUUCUUCUUGAUCCCCCGGGGCAAAGGGAGGUGUCAGCGUCAGGAGCCAUCCUAACUGGGGCCCUGGUAGGUCAGUGCUUUUUGUGUGACUGGACGGUGAAGCUGUCUGUGGGAAUGACCUGGCUAGUGCUCAGUGUAGUCCUAAUUAAGGUGUCUUUUACUCCGUGUUCCCAGGCUCCCUGUUUUCCUUCGGUCGCCGUGGGUGUGCCGGCCGCCUCUGGCAGGACUAACCCUGUGGCUUUUAUGUCCAACGUGCUGUGCUGUGUGUGCCUGCAGGUGGUUGGUGUUUCUGCAGUGUUUGGCACAGGACUGGGGGAGAUUUUUACCCAGCUUUCUAAAGCUGUAGAUGAAUAGGAGAGACUGAAUGCACUCCCUUUAUUCACCUUUUCAGAGAGUAUCGGCCAGAAUACGAGCGCCUGAGAAAAACACUGAAUUGCCACGAGAGGAAAUACUUCAGAGGGGCUUCCCUCCAGCUAAGCCCUGAAUAUGCCAGGAGGUUUCAGCCGGGAGGAAAGGAGCUGUGGAAGAAAAGCAGCCUAAAAAUAGCCAGCGGGGAUCAUCAGGUUUUCCAGCCAAGAAGAACAAGGAGAGAGAUGAGGGAAUCGGGUUCCAAUUCCUAAUGAUUUGGUGGGUGCAGGAAUGAUUUCUGUGUGUUUUCCAGUCCCUUUUGAUUCCUGAGAUGAUUUUAAAAUGAUGGCUUUAGCAAUCAACUAAAUCGGAGAUGUUGUUUUUGAGAGGAAAUGAUGCCAAAUAAAUGCAGAGUUUUGGGUCAGUUUUUGG